rnacentral:rRNA from 16 species
GCAGAAUUCCGCGAAUCAUCGAGUCUUUGAACGCAAGUUGCGCCCGAGGCUUGUCCGAGGGCAUUUCCGCUAGAGCGUCACCGC